CAGGGACCCCUGGGUGGCUCAGCAGUUUAGCGCCUGCCUUAAGCCCAGGGUUUGAUCCUGGAGUCCCGGGAUUGAGUCCCAUGUCGGGCUCCCUGCAUGGAGCCUGCUUCUCCCUCUGCCUGUGUCUCUGCCUUUCUCUCUCUCUCUCUCUCUCUCUCAUGAAUAAAUAAAUAUAAUCUUUAAAAAAAAUAAUCAAAAGUCAAAGGCUUAACAGACUGAGCCAUCCAGGUGCCCCUACUUUUAUCUUUAUCUGUUACCAUUCCUACUUACUUACUUACUUACUUACUUAUUUAUUUAUUUGUUUGUUUGUUUAUUUAUUUAUUGUUCCUACUUUUUUAGAGAUAUACGUGUAUUUCUUUUACCAAGCUUCUUGAAUUGAAAUACUAUUUGUUUUCAGUCUUGUAUCAGGUAAACUUCUAGCAGGAAACAGUGUUGAUUGAAGACAGGUGAAUAAAGGAACAACUUAUAAAGUGUGGGUACUUCUAUCUUCUCUAGACUAAGAAGGAAGAGCUACAGUGACCCCACAGUGGGAGUCUGGAGGAGUAGACACCUGAUCUUAUGCAUUUCUCUGACAUCCACCCCUGCUGAAGACUCCAGAAGGUUGUACUUCAUGCAGAGUAGUAGAAGAAAAGAGGACAGUACCUCAUCGCUAAAAGCAUCCUGUAAGUGGAAAAGCUAUUAAUACUCUCAUGAGUUCUUGUAGUUGAAGUUUUAAAACAGAAGAAUUUGAAUUUUCUGUCUUCCA
rnacentral:lncRNA from 1 species